rnacentral:lncRNA from 1 species
GGCCUCCACACAGCGCACCACCAGCAACUCGUCCAAAGCCUCCUCGCCAGGCGAUGCCAGCCGGCACCGUGAAUCUGAUGCGUGCGUGGUAGUGGCAGCGGCGUGCCGUCGGGACGACUCCAUCAGGAACCAGGCCGUGGAGGACUGCAUCGAGUUCCUCAAACGGUCCUCGGCCGAGGGCGACGCCGCCAAGCUCUCCACUGCCAGCGCCGCCGACGCCAAACUGACCCAAGUAGGUGGCGAGGACAAAGAGAUCGGGGCGUUCUUCAUCCUUAACGUCGGGGAACGGCGUGAGGUCUCUCCGAGCAGCGGGUGUAGAGAAUCAAUCUAGGACAGGAGAAAGUGGUUCAGUUUGUUCUAGUGUUUUUUUUUUUUUUGUUCCAUCGAUGAUUUGUUGUCAUCUUUUGUGAAUGAUUCGCUUUGAUUUCUUAACAAAUUAAGUGCGUGACAUAGCGAAGUGCACUGCACUACUCAUAGGAGUGGUUUGACCAGCUGCGUUUACCAAAGUGUUUCUACAAAUAUACCACCAUCUUUGAUUUUUAUGAUUUUUGGAGACUUCGCGACUACUAGUCAUCGAACCCACGACCUUCCCCUUGUAUGUACCAUUCUUUAUCACUACCUUUGGUAUUUGUGUAUAUAAGCCAAUUCUUUAUCACUACCCUUUGUUAUUUGUGUCUAUAAGCCAUUUUGGUUCCUCACAUAUAUAU